rnacentral:rRNA from 1 species
GGUCAAGUUACUAAGGGCAUUCGGUGGAUGCCUUGGCACCAAGAGGCGAAGAAGGACGUGGUAAAACUGCGAUAAGCUGCGGUAAGUCGUAAACAGGCGUUGACCCGCAGAUCUCCGAAUCGGGAAACCGACACAGAGUAAUGUCUGUGUGGCCCCUCGCUGAAUACAUAGGCGAGAGGUAGCGAACGAGGGGAACUGAAACAUCUCAGUACCUUCAGGAAAAGAAAUCAAUUGAGACUCCCCUAGUAGUGGCGAGCGAACGGGGAUGAGCCUAAACGAUGCGUAUGCAAGCCUGCCGGCGUUGUACGUAUCGGGUUGUAGGACCGUCGGGUUGUCUCGGCAGAGACAGCAAUGGAUACCGUAAGGAUAGCUGAACGUCCUGGGAAGGACGGCCAAAGAGAGUGAUAGCCUCGUAGGCGAAAUCCGAGCGGACCGUAGACGGCACCUGAGUACAACGGGACACGAGGAACCCUGUUGGAAGCUGGGAGGACCAUCUCCCAAGGCUAAGUACUACUUGGUGACCGAUAGUGAACCAGUACCGUGAGGGAAAGGUGAAAAGAACCCCCGCGAGGGGAGUGAAAAGACUCUGAAACCGAAUGUCUACAAGCCGUGGAAGCACUAUGCCGCAAGGAAUGUGCGACCGCGUGCCUUUUGCAUAAUGAGCCUGCGAGUUACAGUGUCCAGCGAGGUUAAGUCGAUAGACGAAGCCGAAGCGAAAGCGAGUCUGAAUAGGGCGUCUAGUUGGAUGCUGUAGACCCGAAACCCGGUGAUCUAUCCAUGACCAGGCUGAAGAGCGGGUAACACCGCUUGGAGGGCCGAACUCACUAUAGUUGAAAAUAUAGGGGAUGAGUUGUGGAUCGGAGUGAAAGGCUAAUCAAACUGGGUUAUAGCUGGUUCUCGCCGAAACAUAUUUAGGUAUGGCCUUUGAGGUUCUGCCGCGGAGGUAAAGCACUGGAUGGGCUAGGGGUCCUACCAGAUUACCAAACCCAACCAAACUCUGAAUGCCGCGGACAGUGACCCAAGGAGACAGGCGUCGAGAGCUAAGUUCCGGCGCCAAGAGGGAAAGAGCCCAGACCGCCAGCUAAGGUCCCCAAAUACGUACUAAGUGGGAAAGGAUGUGGGGGCACACAGACAGCCAGGAGGUUGGCUUAGAAGCAGCCAUCCUUUAAAGAAAGCGUAAUAGCUCACUGGUCAAGUGAACCUGCGCCGAAAAUGUAACGGGGCUAAAGUACGUUACCGAAGCUGCGGAUUUGAACGAAGACUUCGGUCUUCGUCGAGUGGUAGGCGAGCAUUCUCUGUGCUGCGAAGGUCAACGGUAACGAUGGCUGGAGCGCAGAGAAGAGCUUAUGCAGGCUUGAGUAGCGAUAAAACAGGUGAGAAACCUGUUCGCCGUAAGCCCAAGGGUUCCUGGGUCAAGUUAAUCUUCCCAGGGUUAGUCGGUUCCUAAGCCAGAGGCAGACAUGCGUAGGUGAUGGGAAGCAGGUUAAUAUUCCUGCACCAUGUUGGAUGGUUUCUACAGGAGGGACGGAGAAAGGCGGCCGAGCCGGAUAAUGGAUACCGGUUCAAGCCAGUAGGCAGAUUCACUAGGAGGCCUAGUGCCACAAACGGUGAAUCAAUGCCGAGAGGUGAUGAGGAGAGCGCUUAGGCGCUCACAAACUCGGCGAUCCUCAGCUUCCAAGAAAAGCUCCGGUAGAGUUAACCGCUGACGUGACCGUACCGCAAACCGACACAGGUGGGCGGGGAGAAGAUCCCAAGGCGCUUGAGAGAACUCUGCCUAAGGAACUCGGCAAAAUGACACCGUAACUUCGGGAGAAGGUGUGCCCUCAUUACGUGAACCGCGAACGCGGGGAGCGGACGGGGGUUGCAGAGAAUCGGGGGUAGCGACUGUUUACCAAAAACACAGCACUCUGCGAAGUCGCAAGACGACGUAUAGGGUGUGAUGCCUGCCCGGUGCUGGAAGGUUAAAAGAGGAGUCAGCGCAAGCGAAGCUCCAAACUGAAGCCCCAGUAAACGGCGGCCGUAACUAUAACGGUCCUAAGGUAGCGAAAUUCCUUGUCGGGUAAGUUCCGACCUGCACGAAUGGCAUAACGACUUCCCCACUGUCUCGGGCAGAGACUCAGCGAAGUAGCACUAGGGGUGAAGAUACCCUUUACCCACGACAGGACGGAAAGACCCCGUGAACCUUCACUACAGUUUGACAUUGGUUUUCGAAGCAGUUUGCGUAGGAUAGGUGGGAGGCUAUGAAGCUGGGAUUCCGGUCUCGGCAGAGCCAACGUUGAAAUACCACCCUGAUUGGUUUGGAAACCUAACCUACACCCGUAAGCCGGGUGGGGGACACUGUCUGGUGGGUAGUUUGACUGGGGCGGUCGCCUCCCAAAAAGUAACGGAGGCGCGCGAAGGUCCCCUCAGCCUGAUUGGAAACCAGGCGCCGAGUGUAAUGGCAUAAGGGGGCUUGACUGCGAGUCCGACGAGACGAGCAGGUACGAAAGUAGGUCAUAGUGAUCCGGUGGCUCCAUAUGGAAGGGCCAUCGCUCAACGGAUAAAAGGUACUCCGGGGAUAACAGGCUUAUCACGUCCAAGAGUUCACAUCGACGACGUGGUUUGGCACCUCGAUGUCGGCUCAUCGCAUCCUGGGGCUGAAGUCGGUCCCAAGGGUUUAGCUGUUCGCUAAUUAAAGCGGUACGCGAGCUGGGUUCAGAACGUCGUGAGACAGUUCGGUCCCUAUCCGUCGUGGGCGCAGGACGCUUGAGAGGAGCUGACCUUAGUACGAGAGGACCGGGUUGGACGGACCGCUAGUGUUCCGGUUGUGGCGCCAGCGGCAUCGCCGGGUAGCUAUGUCCGGAAGGGAUAACCGCUGAAAGCAUCUAAGCGGGAAGCCCCCCUCAAGAUAAGGCGUCCCUGAGCCGCAAGGCUCCUGAAGACCCCACGUAGACUACGUGGUUGAUAGGCGGAGUGUGGACAUGCGGCAACGCGUGGAGCUAACCCGUACUAAUCGGUCGUGAGGCUUGACCAC